rnacentral:rRNA from 1 species
GACGAAGGGGGCUAGCGUUGUUCGGAAUUACUGGGCGUAAAGCGCGCGUAGGCGGCCCUGUAAGUCCGUUGUGAAAGUCGAAGGCUCAACCUUCGAAAGCCGAUGGAUACUGCAGGGCUAGAGUCCGGAAGAGGCGAGUGGAAUUCCUGGUGUAGCGGUGGAAUGCGCAGAUAUCAGGAGGAACACCAAUAGCGAAGGCAGCACGCUGGGACGGUACUGACGCUAAGGCGCGAAAGCGUGGGGAGCGAACAGG